AGGACGAACGCUGGCGGCGUGCUUAACACAUGCAAGUCGAGGGGGCUCAGCAAUGGGUCACCGGCGAACGGGUGCGUAACACGUGAGCAACCUGCCGCAGAGUGGGGGAUAGCCGGCCCAACGGCCGGGUAAUACCGCAUACGAUCGUAUCGGGACAUCCCGUAACGAUGAAAGAUUUAUCGCUCUGUGAGGGGCUCGCGGCCUAUCAGCUAGUUGGCGAGGUAACGGCUCACCAAGGCGACGACGGGUAGCUGGUCUGAGAGGAUGGCCAGCCACAUUGGGACUGCGACACGGCCCCAGACCUCCUACGGGAGGCGAGCAGGUGGGGGAAUCUUGCGCAAGUGGCGAAAGCCUGACGCAGCGACGCCGCGUAGGGAGGAAGGUUUCGGACUCGGUAAACCCCUGGUUCGCCCGGUACGACUCCACCGAUUCAGUCGGUGUUGGACCGGUACCGGU
rnacentral:rRNA from 1 species